AGAUUGAACGCUAGCGGGAUGCUUUACACAUGCAAGUCGAACGGCAGCGCGGACUUCGGUCUGGCGGCGAGUGGCGAACGGGUGAGUAAUACAUCGGAACGUGCCCAAUCGUGGGGGAUAACGCAGCGAAAGCUGUGCUAAUACCGCAUAAGAUCUACGGAUGAAAGCAGGGGAUCGCAAGACCUUGCGCGAAUGGAGCGGCCGAUGGCAGAUUAGGUAGUUGGUGAGGUAAAGGCUCACCAAGCCUUCGAUCUGUAGCUGGUCUGAGAGGACGACCAGCCACACUGGGACUGAGACACGG
rnacentral:rRNA from 1 species